CGCCUAAACUUUGCUUUUGCAAGGCAUGGCAAUAGUCCAAUACAGCAUAAAGAACCCAUCACGGGGUCGCUGUAUUGGCCAUAUCAGGAAACUGAUAUGAGUAGCUUCGGCUACU
rnacentral:sRNA from 1 species